GAUGAACGUUGGCGGCGUGCCUAAUACAUGCAAGUCGAACGAAGACUGUAGUAAUACUGUCUUAGUGGCGAACGGGUGAGUAACGCGUGGGUGACCUGCCCCGAAGUGUGGGAUAACAGUCCGAAAGGAUUGCUAAUACUGCAUAAUAUCCAAGAGAUUAGACGCUUUCGGAUUAAAGGAGUAAUUCGCUUCGGGAGGGGCCCGCGUCCCAUCAGCUAGUUGGUAAGGUAAUGGCUUACCAAGGCGAUGACGGGUAGGGGACCUGAGAGGGUGGCCCCCCACAAUGGAACUGAAACACGGUCCAUACACCUACGGGUGGCAGCAGUAGGGAAUAUUAGUAAUGGGCGAAAGCCUGAACUAGCAACGCCGCGUGUGCGAAGAAGGCCUUCGGGUCGUAAAGCACUUUUUGGAGGGAAUAGGAAGGGAGGUACCUCCAGAAUAAGUCUCGGCUAACUACGUG
rnacentral:rRNA from 1 species